AAGGAUCAUUAGAAUGAAGCAGCCUAGGAGCCUGAGACACGGCCACCGGGCAUACCUUCCACCCUCUGUCUAUCACACUUUGUUGCUUUGGCAGGCCUGCCCCUGGGCUGCCGGCUCCGGCCGGCGAGCGCCUGCCAGAGGCCUAAACUCUGUCUGUCUGUAACGUCUGAGUACCAUAUAAUAGUUAAAACUUUCAACAACGGAUCUCUUGGCUCUC
rnacentral:misc_RNA from 1 species